CUGGCCCACGACAGCCAGAGGCAGUUCUCAGCGGCCAGUGAGAGGAAGUCUUGGUGUCACAGCCACCCACCAUGUGCACAGCUUGUCUCCCUGCAGUCCGUUCCAGCACCGCAGCAGAAGACCACGGCCCUUGUCUGCCCGAAUCCUGCCGGGCUGCGCUUCACCCAGAGAAGAAGCGGGUCCCUGCCUUGGCCCCUCAGCCUCUGUGCUCUCCUGUCCCCCUCUCCUCUCGCUCCCUCCUUGACAGGCAGGCUGCUGCCUUAGGGUCUUUGUACCUGCUGAUCUGCUUUUCUCCACAUCUCCCUUCGUUGUGCAUUUUCUGUCCUGCCCCAGCUCGAAUAUCUCUCCAGGAGGGGAGCGGCUCUGCCUCUGCAAAACCCAACGGGACUGCAUCUGUCGUGGAGUGAACUGUGUCCCCUGAAGGAAACACUGAAGCCCUGACCCCAGACUGCGAGUGUGGCCUCAGAUGCGGUCACUGGGUUGGGCCCUGGUCCAAUGGCUGGUGUGCUUAUAGGACGAUGCGCAUGUGAAGACCGGCUCAGGAGGAGGCCAUGUGAUGGUGGAGGAAGAGACUAGGGUGAGGUGUCUGCAAGCCAAGGAUUGCCCGCAACGCCCGAUGCUGGAAGAGGCAGGAGAGACCCUCCUCCGGAGCCUUCAGAGGGAGCCUGGCCCUGUCCACACCCUGAUCUCAGACUUCUGGCCUCCAGACUGUGGGAGGCUAGAUCUCUGGGGUUGCAGUCCCCCGUUGGUGGUACUUUGUCACAGCUGCCCCAGGACCUGAUACAAUUAGUAAAUAUCUCUGAGCGAAGGAACAACUGAGGAAAGGCAGAAUUCCUCUAAUGUGCUUUCAGCGACGGUCUGCCAGCGACGGUCCAGGGGCUUCCCAUGUCUUAUUCCCUCUACACAGAUUGUGUGUCCCCAACGCCUGGCUGGGUCCCCCGACCCCCAGUCCUACAGACCACAGACUCCUUGGGCCAUGCCGACUCAGGGCAGCCAGGGCUUCCUAGGCUGCACAGCCCAGGCCCUUUGACCCUCCCCUCCCGGAGAAGGGGGUCUCUGCUGCUCCCCUCUAGCCCGGGGCAGGUGAACCAAGGGGCAGGUGGGGUGAGGAUGGAG
rnacentral:lncRNA from 1 species